UACGGAGGGUGCAAGCGUUAUUCGGAAUUACUAAACGUAAAGCGCGCAUAAGCGGUUUGUUAAGUCAGAUGUGAAAGCCCAUGGCUCAACCAUGGACAUACAUUUGAAACUGGCAGACUUGAGUAUUGGAGAAAAUGGUGGAAUUCCCGGUGUAGAGGUGAAAUUCGUAGAUAUCGGGAGGAAUACCAGUGGCGAAGGCGACCACCUGGCCAAAUACUGACGCUGAGAUGCGAAAGCGUGGGAAGCAAACAGG
rnacentral:rRNA from 1 species